GAUGAAGAACGCAGCGAAAUGCGAUAAGUAAUGUGAAUUGCAGAAUUCAGUGAAUCAUCGAAUCUUUGAACGCAUCUUGCGCUCCUUGGUAUUCUGAGGAGCAUGCCUGUUUGAGUGUCAUUAAAUUCUCAACUACACUGACUUUGAAUUGGUGUGGCUUGGAUUUGGGGGGAAAAUUGUUGUGGGCUUUUUGUAUAGUCUGCUCCCCUGAAAUUGAUUAGCGGUACCUUUGUGGAACUGUCUACAGGUGUGAUAAUUAUCUACAUCUUAGACAUCUGCUGGAAUGCUGCUUUCUAAACCUUACUUGUAUUGACAAUCUUGACCUCAAAUCAGGUAGGACUACCCGCUGAACUUAAGCAUAUCAAUAAGCGGGGA
rnacentral:misc_RNA from 1 species